CCACUCCGUGGCAAUGAUUGUCGCGUUUCUCGGUGUCUAAAAUUUCAUCGAGUUCUGCUUUUGCACUUUCCCCCAACUUUACUCCCAAAAACUUUUCCCCUUCGAACUUUUAUCCCCUAAAAAAAAAAGGGUGUUCGAACAAAUUGUAAAUCGACAACCAACUGUAAAAGGGCGGUUGAUUUUAAGAAAAUAAUAAUAAUAAUAAUAAUAAUAAUAAUAAUAAUAAAAGAAAAGAAUCAUUCGUAGAAAAUUUCGACUAAUCAAAAAUCUUCACUUUCAGGCGCGAUUGAAUCCGAGAUGAAGCUCGGCUCGUUCAACCGAAUCGAAGUUUCGCACGAACCCCAUUGGACCGAGUCGAUGCCGGAUAAAUUUAUUUUAAGUGUCCUUCCGAUACCUCGAUUCACCAUGCUCGGUCGAAAGGAGUAAUAGCAACUGAGAGACUCGUCUGGCAAGUUUGUGUGACCCGACGCUGUGUCAGACGCGAUUGAAAAAAAAAGGAAGAGAAGAUAGAGACGCGAGAAGAAACGGUAUUUCCGGGCGCAUAUGAAAUGCAGAAGUGACGGGGGGAGGGGAGA